rnacentral:rRNA from 1 species
GACGAACGCUGGCGGCGUGCUUAACACAUGCAAGUCGUGCGGUAAGGCCCUUUCGGGGGUACACGAGCGGCGAACGGGUGAGUAACACGUGGGCAACCUGCCCUUCACUUUGGGAUAACUGCCGGAAACGGUGGCUAAUACCGGAUAUGACUUCCUCACGCAUGUGGGGUGGUGGAAAGCCUUCGGGUGGUGGGGGAUGGGCUCGCGGUCUAUCAGCUUGUUGGUGGGGUGAUGGCCUACCAAGGCUUCGACGGGUAGCCGGCCUGAGAGGGUGACCGGCCACAAUGGGACUGAGACACGGCCCAGACGCCUACGGGAGGCAGCAGUGGGGAAUAUUGGACAAUGGGCGAAAGCCUGAUCCAGCAACGCCGCGUGAGGGAUGACGGCCUUCGGGUUGUAAACCUCUUUCGCCUGCGACGAAGCGAGAGUGACGGUAGCAGGUAAAGAAGCACCGGCCAACUACGUG